UAUAAAUCAAGGAGCGGGGCCGUGAGAAUUCCGCAUAAACCAGGGGAGGGGAGCAUCGUCAUCCAACAGUAGAGCAGAACAAGAGCAUGGCGCCGGUGAAGGUGUUUGGGUCGGCGGCGUUCACGAACGUGGCGCGGGUGCUGGUGUGCCUGGAGGAGGUCAGCGCCGAGUACGAGAUCGUCGACGUCGACUUCCAAUCCAAGGAGCACAAGGGCCCCGAUCACCUCGCCAGAAACCCGUUCGGCCAGGUCCCGGCGUUCCAGGACGGGGAUCUCACGCGCUUCCAGUCCCGCGCGAUCUCACGCUACGUGCUCCGGAAGCACAGGACCGACGAGGUCAACCUGCUGAGGGAAGGCGAUCCCAAGGAAUCGGCCCUCGUCGACGUCUGGAUGGACGUGGAGGCGCUCAGCUUCGACCCCAUCAUGCACUCGGUGUUCUACCAGCACCGCGUCGUGCCGGCGCUGGGCGGGACGCCGGACGAGAAGAUCAUCGGCGAGAGCGUCGAGAAGCUGAGGAAGGUGCUGGAGGUGUACGAGGCCCAGCUGACCAAGCACAGGUACCUCGCCGGGGAUUUCCUGAGCCUCGUGGACCUCAGCCAUUUCCCCGAGACGCACUACUUCAUGGGGAUGCCGUACGCGGCGGUGUUCGACGCAUACCCUCGUGUUAGGGCGUGGCUGGAGGAGCUGUUCGCUAGGCCCGCCGUCAAGAAGGUCAUCGCGCUCAUGGCCAAGGACUUCAAUUAGUUAUACUACCAGGAACACCACGAAAAAAUUCUGAGUAAAGGUAUAUAUGUUUUCUUCCAGAAUGUAUGUAGUUUGUGGUGAGAAAUAAAAAGGGGCACGUAUGCAAUAUGACUUUGGCUGUAUGUAUAUUCAAGAAUGUAUGUAUUGUCUUUACAUCUCACCAGACUUUCUUAUCAAUUUAGUACUACUACUCUGUUUAUUAGCGUGCUCUGUUUUCUGAGUAUCACUACUCUGUUUUAUGCCUUGUUUUCUUUGAAAAGGCACACAUCAAACAGAACAACACAAAAUUACAAAAACAACCAGUACCUCUUUAUUUCGACUGCAGCAAGAAACCAAAUAAUGCUAUAGUACAGAUGUGGAACACAACACUGACCAGUCCUCCUCGCCAAUGCUCAACGCUAAACCAAUAUGAAAAUCUAAUCGUGUCACACUGACAGGAAACGAAUUUCCGAGUCGCCAGCCAGCUGCCGCUUCAGUCCAGCGGCCGAGAUGCUCGCUCACCACACGGCGUAGACCGCAGCAGCCGCGAGGGCGAGCACCAGCCCAGCCGGGCCAUGGAGUGACGAGCCGCCGUUCUCCUGCAGGUACGCCGACGGGGUCGUCUUGGAUCCAGACCCUGCCGGUGUCUGCACCUCGGGCGUGGUCGGCGUGGCGGCCCAGCGAUGACGAGUCGCCGCCGAGCGCGCUGCAGAGGCACUGCGGCUGGGACUGCACCACGGAGCCAAGCUGCGAGCAGCAGGACUUAGUCGGCGCCAUGUCGUUGCCGCCGAUGUAGUUCAUGCACGGGUACAGCCCGACGAGCACCGCCGUGCACCCGGACUGCGCCGACGCCGACGCCACCAGCAGGGCCGCUGCCACCGCCGCGGCCAGGAGGAUGCUGCUGCCGGACAUGGCUCUCGCCGCAAUUGAUGGAUUUCUCUUCCCCUUGGAUUGAUAUUUGAUAGUGCAAGCAAGAGGCUUUUUCUUGGGAUCGAUGCUGCUUGCUUGCGCUGAUCAGGCCGGCUAGCUGUUUGUGCUUUUGAAAUUCGGGUUAGCGUGAAUUUAUAGGAGUGGUGUUUGUUGGGGAAGGUGGAAUUAGC
rnacentral:rRNA from 1 species